rnacentral:lncRNA from 1 species
CUCCCAUUCACCCCCCAGUAACCCCCCAUUAACCCCCUAUCUCCCCAUUAGGCCGCCGGUAGGCAUGGAGAAAGAUCGAGGCGAGGACCUUGGCGGCGGUGGCGUCAGCAUCAGCAGCACCGGCGGCGUCACCGGCACCGGUGUCGGCGGCCGCGAGGCCAAACCGCGCUCGCUGCGCUUCACGUGGAGCAUGAAGACGACGAGCGCCCUGGAACCGGGCGAGAUGAUGCGGGAGAUCCGCAAGGUGCUGGACGCCAACAGCUGCCGCUGCGAGCUGCAGGAACGCUUCGUCCUCCUGUGCGCCCACGGCUCCCCCGGCCACGAAUCCUUCGUGCAGUGGGAGAUGGAGGUGUGCAAGCUGCCGCGCCUCUCGCUCAACGGCGUCCGCUUCAAGCGCAUCGCCGGCACCUCCAUGGCCUUCAAGAACAUUGCCUCCAAGGUGGCCAACGAGCUCAAGCUCUGAGCGCGAACCCCCCCCCGUGUCCCCCCCCUCCAUGUUCACCUCCAGGGGGGGCUUCUCCUCAAAACGGGGGGUGUGGACCCAGCAACUAUUGGACUCCCCCCACCCCAGUCCCUCCGGUCCCCGUUGUGCUCCCUGCGGGGUUGGUACUGGGAUGGGACCUGGUGUAGGUGCCCCCCCUGCCCCCCCAGGACCCUGUGGGGUCGGUGUUGGGAUGGGACCUGUUGUAGGUGCCCCCCCUCUGCACCCCCUCGCUCCUCAGGACCUGUGGGGUCGCGGGACAGGAUGUGGAGACGGCCCUAAAGGAGUUGGGGGGGGCACCCCAAAUUUGUGGGGUCGACUCCAGAGCUGUGGGGACAAAGUGGGGCCUGCAGGGAGUUGGGAACGGCCCCAACACCCCAAAAUCUCUGGGGCUGUCUCUAGGGACAGGGGGGGAUGUCCCCAGGUCUUGUAGGGUCAAGGUGGCCCCAAAACCUCUGGGGACAGGGAUGUCCCCAAGCCCUUUGGGGUCAGGCUGGGACCUGUGGGGUCAUCCCAGAGCCUUAUGGGGACGCCCGGGGUGUCCCCAGGGGAUGUCCCGGGGGUCCCCAGGUCCCCAAGGGACACGGGGUGGCCUUGGGGUCCCUAUGGGGAC